rnacentral:rRNA from 1 species
AUCAAGGCUGAGGUGUGAUGACGAGGCACUACGGUGCUGAAGUAACAAAUGCCCUGCUUCCAGGAAAAGCCUCUAAGCAUCAGGUAACAUCAAAUCGUACCCCAAACCGACACAGGUGGUCAGGUAGAGAAUACCAAGGCGCUUGAGAGAACUCGGGUGAAGGAACUAGGCAAAAUGGUGCCGUAACUUCGGGAGAAGGCACGCUGGUGAGUCGGAAAAUAAUUAUCAGCAGCUACGAUUAAUAUUAUUUCUUUAUUUCAGCGCCAUUAUAUUGUGCUCCGGUAAAAUAAUGAUGCGGCCUCUUCCUCCCA